ensembl:misc_RNA Metazoa_SRP Metazoan signal recognition particle RNA
GCCAGGCAUGGUGGUGCAUGCCUGUAGUCCCAGCUACUUGGGAGGCUGAGGUGGGAGGAUUGCUUGAGACUGGGAGCUCGAGGCUGCAGUGAGCCUUGAUUGUGCCACUACACUCCAGCCUGGGCGACAAAGCAAGACCCUAUCUCAA